UGUGCGCACUUAUGAUUAACGUCAUUUCAUCAGCUUUAGUUUUGACAUUUGUUUACGUAUUUCUUGUUGGACAUUAGUAGCAGGUCAACAGAAUUAGUACUAUUAUUAAUAAAAUAAUAGAUACUUAUAUUAUCCAUUUUAAAACUGUUGUAUGUUUCUUCAUUUUUUAUGAUCAACAAAAUAUUUUUGUGAAAAAAUUUGCUUAAUUAGAAUAUCUCACUAGCCAUUGAAACUAUUGGAAAAAAUCAAAUUUAGCAAUCAGUCUAGUGCAAUUUCGGCCGUUAUUGGUACUGGACAAUAAUUUUGUGAUUUCACACAGUUCUUACUUAUUAUUGUGUGAUAUCUGCUUUGAAUUAGCAGUCAAUUAUAAAUUUUCCUGCUAUUUAACAGCAGUCAUCUAAAAAUCAAAUUUCUGCAUACAAUAGCAGUACUAUUUACAGAAUCUGCAAUUAUCAGCAGUAAAUUUAUAAAGUAUCUGCUUUUUUCAGCAGUCAAUUUAUAAAAUAACGAAAAUUAUUGGAUAAUCAUUAUUUCUUUUGUUUUUUACUGUAGUGUACAUUAAAAUGUAAUGUGUAUAGCGCCAAGUACACGUUCCAACUACGACUACAUAUUGGAUAUGUUAUUUUAUAAAUAUACUUAAAACCUCUAAAAUGAAUUAAGCCAAGUUGAAAUAUUAUAUUUUGAAUACAAAUAUUUCAUACAACGAUUAAAACAAUGUUAAUGUACUUGGCGUGACUGACUGAAUGAAAUUAAUUUAUAACUCAACAAGUAGUUAUGAGCAAUAUUGUUUAUGGGCUUUAGUUUUGAGUUUUCUACUGUUAUUGUUCUUUUCACUCUUAAGAGAGAAAGCAGAA